rnacentral:sRNA from 1 species
ACAUUUUCUACACAGCCCUUUCAAGAUCCCUGCCAAUUCUAAAAUUAAAUGAUUCUAUGAUUAACUGUGUUUCAUCCUUCUGCAUCAGUUCCCAAAACAAAUUAUAUCAAGAGACAGCAAAAAUGCUUGUAAAGAAAGGAUGUCCAACAAUCUGUGUGGUUGUUUUUCUGUGUUCCUCCAAUGGUAGGGCCUCUGUUCACCAGUGCCAUCUCUUCUUUUAGCUGUAAGAAAAGCCUGGAGUGCACAAAGUUGUGCCUACCCCAGAUUGAGAAUGUUAAGGGCACUGAGGACUCAGGUGAGAAGAAGUGACCUGGUGCCCAUGCUCACCUGCCCUCUCCCUCUCCUUGCCCCCACCCAUCCAUCCAUCCCACCCAUCCAUCUACCCCUGCAGCCCCCCUCUGCUCACUCCUCUGACCACACCUGCUUUGUCUGCAGGCACCACAGUGCUGUUGCCCCUGGUCAUCUUCUUUGGUCUUUGCCUUUUAUCUCUCCUCUUCAUUGGUUUAAUGUAUCGUUACCAACGGUGGAAGUCCAAGCUCUACUCCAUUGUUUGUGGGAAAUCGACACCUGAAAAAGA